CAUGAUGUGACUAUCGAAUUAUAUAUUUUCUACAACUAUAUUCAAUAUUUAUAUCAUUUUUCAUUGUACGCCUUUUGGAGUUCCGUAAAUGUGGCGCCAAGGGCUGACAGUGAAGCUGCAUUACGUAAUUAAGUUGAAUUUACGGUACCUUGCGUCUGGAAGCACCUACGCUUCCCUACAACUUGAAUACUUAGUUGGGAAAACAACUAUUUCUAAAGUUGUCGCCGAAACUUGCCAAGUAACCUAGGAUUGUUUGCAUUGCACGGAAAUGCCCGAACCAACAGUGCAGCAGUGGAUCGAGAUCGCUGACAAUUUCUACAGGAAGACUAAUUUUCCCAACUGUGCAGGUGCGGUAGAUGGGAAACACAUACGGUGUAUUAAACCUUGCAGAUCGGGGUCGAAGUACUUUAAUUAUAAAAAAUACUUCUCAGUCGUGCUGAUGGCAGUUGCGGAUGCUGAUUUACGCUUUGUUGCUAUAGACGUAGGGGCAUAUGGACAAGAAGGAGAUUCAACAGUUUUUAGAGAUACUGUUCUUGGUAAAAAGUUGUUUUCAGGUACAUUGAAUUUACCACCUCCAAAAUGUUUGCCAAACACCUAUUUUAAACCACAGCCUUUUGUCAUGGUUGGUGAUGAAGCAUUCAGACUUCAUACAAAUCUUCUUCGCCCCUACCCACAGCGUAAUCUCGAUGCCCGUAAAAGGGUUUUUAAUUACAGGUUAUGUCGCUGCAGAAGAUACGUGGAAUGCGCAUUCGGGGUGCUCGCUAAUAAAUGGCGUGUUUUGCACACCCCAAUACUGUUGCAUCCUGACAAUAUUUACAAAGUAGUAAAAGCGUCUUGCGUCCUGCAUAAUUUUGUGCGCAAACGAGACGGUGUUAAUUGUGAGGACUCCGAAUCACAUACGUUCGUGGAUGUCAGUGAUUUCGGACGUAAUGCUUAUGUUCAAGGUGUAGGCGUUAGGGACUUUUUUGCUGAUUAUUUUAUGGGACCAGGAGCAGUCCCUUUCCAAAAGCCCUAUAUGUUCUAAAUGCCUUUUAUGGACUCCACACAAUGUGUCUAAUGAUGCAGUUUGUUCGUCGUAAUGUUUGUUCCAAACACUGUUUCCUGAAUUAUCUGUGUGUGUUAAAUAAUUAACAAAAUGUACUCAUUGCAAAUACGAUACAUUAAAGAAACAAUUGUAACAAUAUCACAUAAUUAUGCUGUAACAUAUAUAGGCCUAAUAAUAACAUUUACGACAAUACAAAUAGUGUGUUUUUCUUACCUUUUGUUCUUUUCUCCGAUUGAGACAGUUGUUCCCAAUUAUCAACCAGUUCUCCUGCCACUGUCAACCAACACUUCUCUUUAACUGUUAAGUCUUUAAAAAACUCGUCAGUUUUGUCCCAAAGUGGAGGAUUAUCUUGAACCAAUGCUAUCAACUUGUCACAAUCCAUAGCAGACAAAAAUAAAUUGCAGGCAGUUGUAUCGACGCAGGCCGUUGAACGUGUACUGUGGGAACAGAUCCGUCUGUUUGUUUGUGUCCUACCCCCACGCAU